rnacentral:tRNA from 1 species
GCGGAAGUAGUUCAGCGGUUAGAAUGCCUCCUUGCCAAGGAGGAGGUCGUGGGUUCGAAUCCCAUCUUCCGCUCCA